rnacentral:rRNA from 1 species
CAGUAGCCGCGGUAACACGGAGGGUGCAAGCGUUAAUCGGAAUUACUGGGCGUAAAGCGUGCGUAGGCGGUUCGUUAAGUCUGUUGUGAAAGCCCCGGGCUCAACCUGGGAAUGGCAAUGGAUACUGGCGAGCUAGAGUGUGUCAGAGGAUGGUGGAAUUCCCGGUGUAGCGGUGAAACGCGUAGAGAUCGGGAGGAACAUCAGUGGCGAAGGCGGCCAUCUUGGACAACACUGACGCUGAGGCACGAAAGCGUGGGGAGCAAACAGGAUUAGAUACCCCUGUAGUCCCUGUCUCUUAUAC